rnacentral:rRNA from 1 species
GACGAACGCUGGCGGCGUGCCUAAUACAUGCAAGUAGAACGCUGAAGAGAGGAGCUUGCUCUUCUUGGAUGAGUUGCGAACGGGUGAGUAACGCGUAGGUAACCUGCCUUGUAGCGGGGGAUAACUAUUGGAAACGAUAGCUAAUACCGCAUAACAAUGGAUGACACAUGUCAUUUAUUUGAAAGGGGCAAUUGCUCCACUACAAGAUGGACCUGCGUUGUAUUAGCUAGUAGGUGAGGUAAUGGCUCACCUAGGCGACGAUACAUAGCCGACCUGAGAGGGUGAUCGGCCACACUGGGACUGAGACACGGCCCAGACUCCUACGGGAGGCAGCAGUAGGGAAUCCUCGGCAAUGGGGGCAACCCUGACCGAGCAACGCCGCGUGAGUGAAGAAGGUUUUCGGAUCGUAAAGCUCUGUUGUAAGUCAAGAACGGGUGUGAGAGUGGAAAGUUCACACUGUGACGGUAGCUGACCAGAAAGGGACGGCUAACUACGUG